UAGCAUCAGCAUUGGUUACUCUUACCUCCCUACAGCCUCGUGAGACCUGAGAUUUGUUCACUUUUGAAUAUAGCUACAUUUGCUGUUUCCCCCUGAUUACAGUCUUUAUGCUAAGAUAAGCUAGCAAGAAAAUUGUGGUAAAUCCUAUGUUUAAAGAGCAGCCCCUGAAGCUGGAGUUCCCAGCUUCAGGGGCUACCCAGGGUGUAAAUCCAAUAUGGCUGCCAUUCAUAUACCAGAAUUAAAAAUUUGCAGUUGUAGAUUUUUGCUUUCAAAUUGAAUGCACUCAACAUCCAACUUCCAAGGCAAAUGGAUGGCAGUAUUAACAAACCCAAAAUGUCAAGCAGUUUCUUUCAAAUAUAACAUGAACACCUGCAAAUAAAAAAUUUUCUAAAAAUUC